AGCUGCUCUGGAGAAAUCACUGUGUCGUCUGCUAUGUCCGCCCACAACUUAACAGUUACCACACGGAGCUGCCUGUUUAACAAUGAUCUGUGACAGGGCCUUGUCAGGGGUGGCUCCCCAUUUGCAGACUGCCUUUCUAAGUGAGGAGUAUCUCUCAUUACUGAUUUGCAGGAGAAUUUUUUAUUUAAAAAAUUCCAAUUGACCCUGCCAUUUGAUGGCUGAAAGACAUCCAGGUAACCCUGAGAUUGCUGAUGGGAGUAUAUUUUUAACUUUUUUAAUAGAAUGUUCAUAAACUAUUUUUAGUUUUCUUUUGUAAUAUAUUCUUAGUGCUUGGUAUGCUGCCCUGGGCUCCUUCGGGAGGAUGGACAGAAUAUAAAAUAAAUAACAGUGACAACUGUUGCCAGCUUUGUCAGCUUCUGUACUGCAUGUGAAACACAGCACCUGCAAGUCUGGUAAUCUUUUGGCAUCUUUUCCUACACCUCAGUCAGCAAAGUGCCUUAGUGAAGGCAUGGAGAGGAAUUGAAAAUGUUUGUCCACAAAGUUUCUUCCUCAGUGUUCCUGGGGGCACAGACUUCCUUCCAAGUAACAGUGACCUUGGUGACAUGUUGGUGAAAGGGGCCCACACCAUAAUGCUGGCAGUCCUUCUGGGUGUAGUAACUUCAGCAACUGGGCUUUUCCACAGCCAGUUCUCCUCAGCAGGAACUGUGGCACUUUUGCAAAGACGGCCAUUGCUCUCUCAAGGCACAGCCUUCUCAAUGCCACAUCCACCCACACCCUGGGCCUAGCUGAAUGGAUUUUUCUGGAAAAUGGGUUCUGAAAAAGAAAGUGCAGUUUCACAAAGGAUACCCAAUACAGCAGAUCCAAAGGACAUUGAUUACAGGCACCUGCCCAAACAGCUCAUUAAUCCAAAGUAUACAGAAGUCAGCAGGAUUUACCCCACCCCAUCUGCCUAAUUUAAUUCAGUGAACAAUAGAUCAGCAUCCUAGAGCAGUUUCACAAGGCUGGAGGACCGCAUUGCAAGAUUUGGAGCAGUGUGAAUUUCAAAGAAUGGCCCUGUUUGCACAUCAUUCUGGAAAGUGUGGACUAGGUGGCUUGAGACCUCAGCUGAAGUCUCAACAUGAUGAUACAUUCUUUCCCCCCAGAAUGCUUUCUCAUUUGUCAGUGGCUGCAAGGCGUCUUAUUAAUCUAGAACAUAGAUGUUGGUAGAAGCAUCAAAGCUGGAAGACUUUUAGAGUGACACACUGAAAGCCUUGUAGCUACCUGAGUUAUGAAGCCAAAGGAGCAGCUCUUGUCUACAGGGCUCAAAAUUAAAGGACUCUGGUGAAUAAACACUUCGGAAAGCAAGGAGAGGGAAAGAGCAGGAGAGAUAAUUUCCAGACUUUACUUGCAACAUCAGUGCCAGUGGGAUAAAUUUAACUAGAAAUAAUAACAGCAAAGCAUUGUUUGGAAAUCUCUAACUAUAUGAAAGUAAAUAUAUGAACUGAUUUGCCAGCAUCGCAACAUCAUAACCAGAUCAUUGGGUUAUUGCACAAUAUGAGAUGCUGGAAUGCAAACAGAUUGACUUCAGUGCCAGACUAGGCUAAUUCAUACUGAGAUGCUGAAACCAUACAUCCAAAUAACACAGAAAAGUAAGUAGAAUUAGCACAAAGACAGCUAUCCCAAUGUGCAGCACAAGAAAUCGUUCCAAUAAUGCAGUAAGGUAGUACAUGUAUUAUGUAGUGGCAGAGAAAAUAUGGGAAACUUUUCUUGGCAAAAACAGUCUUGCUCGCCAAAUGGAGCACAUGGGUCACAGGCUCCCUCCAGCUUGGCCACACAGAGCUACACAGAGGCAUGACUUUCUAGAGCAAUAACCUGAUGCCAGAAUGAUCUUAGGUGGCCCAUUUUUGCUUAGCACUGUGUACAGAAGCCCCAACAAUCAGUGGUAGACUUUGGUACCUCAAAUUUUAGUAGCACACUACGAUGCCAAAAUCUGGUGUCCCCUUCGCCUCUCUCCUUCCGUUGGACUUCAUAAUUGCAGGACCUGCUGCAGGAUCCCAGAAGCUCCACAUCCAAACUGGUCAAAGCUCAAUGGACCACAUUUUACAAGCUUGCAUAGCACACUGCACAGUGCUUUGCUAGCCCCAACAUCAUUGUGAAGUCAGGUGACUGGCGGGCAGCCCCACCCACCCAUCAAACUUGGCCCACAGGGUUUAAGGAAGAUCAGACUCCAAUUCACUGGUUGGAUCCAGUUCCUCACACCCAAUAUAGCCAAUCAAUCAUGAUGUUGUUUCUUAAAUUAAUACACCUGAUGUGUUUCUGUAUAUUCAUAUAUUUAUCUACCAAGUUGAAAUGCCACAUGGAGUCUAACUUCAAGUUGGGUAUUGCAGUGUAAAUUAAAAAAUAAGAACAUAGCAACAAACAUUUGCUCCAGAGGGAGAGAGAAAUCACUGAUGUGAAAAUGCAAACAGUUGAUCCAGUGCUAAUUAUUGCCUUUAUAUAACAGUUUGUUGUGGUUCUGUUGAAGGUGUUUCUGAAUAAAACAAGAUAUGAUAAUGACACCAGGGAUCAGGUCCCCCGUAGGGAUAGCAACAUUACCCAGUAAUAUUGACAGCAUGUUCUGUUACCAUUACUAAGGAAGAUAAUGCCUAUCAAAACUUAUGAGUAACAUGUCAAAAGACAUGACUCCCUGC